AUGUCAUAUCAGAAUUGGAUUAAAAUCAGAAACUUGAAUGGUUGGGGAUCUUGUAGCAUUUUCUCACCUCAGUGGAAUUCCCCAAAAGCUGCGAGGGAGCUUUUGAAGCUCCAUCCUGUACGCAAGAGAGAGGGGGAAAGGAAAAGAAAGGGAAAAAGAGAAGAAGAAGAAAAAAUAAAGAGCAGAUUUUUUUGGGUCGUUAAGAUUUUUUCGGCGUUUGGACAUCGUGGGGUCGGAUUUUGCUGAACUUUCGUCGAGGAUUUUUCCGGACGUUUUUGGGUGGUGGUCCCUGCCGUACGGAUAGGGAAGAGGCAACAGAGCACCUCGCUUCUCUGAUUAUCAUUUUUCUCUUGGAUUCUCACGCUAGAUUGGUUUCUUGUGAUCCUUUUGAUCAUUGUGGAGAUCAUAGCCAGCAGAGCCAUAUUGAGUUUGACAGAGAUACUUGCUAUUAGACUCGGUAGGGGUUGCUCCCCUUCGAGUGCCGCUCCGGACGCUGGUGAGUUACAACAGAGAUAUGUGUGCCCUUGGGAAGACGACCCACCUGCGGGAGUGGUGUUCGGGCUAGGGGCAGAGUCUAAGUGUCGACGGUGCACCUGCGGGAGUGCGAUUCCGGGCACUAGGCGGGCGCAAGGUUGACCGGACCUAUGAGUUGGUCGUUGCGAUUGGUGUUGUCUCAGAUCGAGCGAUGUGGAGGCUCAAGAUUGCGGAGGGCGGGAGCCCGUGGCUAUGGACGACGAACAACCACGUGGGGAGGCAGGUUUGGGAGUAUGAUCCCGAUCUCGGCACUCCCGAGGAGAUCGCGGAGGUCGAGAAGGCCCGCGAGGCCUUCCGCAAGAAUCACUUCAAGAUGAAGCACAGCGCCGAUCUACUCAUGCGAUUGCAGGUUCUUCUUCUUCUUCUUCUU